AAGAGAACUUGCCCUUCGGGGUAGAUCUCCCACCCUUUGUUUAUCACACUUUGUUGCUUUGGCGGGCCUGCCUCACGGCUGCCGGCGUAAGCUGGCUCGCGCCCGCCAGAGACCCCUAAACUCUGAAUAUUGUCGUCUGAGUAAUAUAUAAUAAGUUA
rnacentral:misc_RNA from 1 species